AAAACGACUCUCGGCAACGGAUAUCUCGGCUCUCGCAUCGAUGAAGAACGUAGCGAAAUGCGAUACCUGGUGUGAAUUGCAGAAUCCCGUGAACCAUCGAGUCUUUGAACGCAAGUUGCGCCCGAGGCCAUCCGGCUAAGGGCACGCCUGCCUGGGCGUCACGC
rnacentral:rRNA from 1 species